rnacentral:rRNA from 1 species
GACGAACGCUGGCGGCGUGCUUAACACAUGCCAGUCGAACGGAAAGGCCCUGCUUUUGUGGGGUGCUCGAGUGGCGAACGGGUGAGUAACACGUGAGUAACCUGCCCUUGACUUUGGGAUAACUUCAGGAAACUGGGGCUAAUACCGGAUAGGAGCUCCUGCUGCAUGGUGGGGGUUGGAAAGUUUCGGCGGUUGGGGAUGGACUCGCGGCUUAUCAGCUUGUUGGUGGGGUAGUGGCUUACCAAGGCUUUGACGGGUAGCCGGCCUGAGAGGGUGACCGGCCACAUUGGGACUGAGAUACGGCCCAGACUCCUACGGGAGGCAGCAGUGGGGAAUAUUGCACAAUGGGCGGAAGCCUGAUGCAGCAACGUCGCGUGCGGGAUGACGGCCUUCGGGUUGUAAACCGCUUUCGCCUGUGACGAAGCGUGAGUGACGGUAAUGGGUAAAGAAGCACCGGCUAACUACGUG